GACGAACGCUGGCGGCGUGCUUCAUACAUGCAAGUCGAACGAGAAGCUGACUUCGGUCAGUGGAAAGUGGCGGACGGGUGAGUAAUAUGUAGGAAAUCUGCCUUUAGGAGGGGGACAACAGAGGGAAACUUCUGCUAAUACCCCAUAUGAGCGUAGCUGAAAUGCUAUUCUUGAAAACUCCGGUGCCUAAAGAUGAGCCUGCAUCUGAUUAGCUAGUUGGUAGUGUAAUGGACUACCAAGGCGACGAUCAGUAGCUGGUUUGCGAGGAUGAUCAGCCACAAUGGGACUGAGACACGGCCCAUACUCCUACGGGAGGCAGCAGUAGGGUAUUUUGCGCAAUGGGCGAAAGCCUGACGCAGCAACGCCGCGUGAACGAUUAAGCCCUUCGGGGUGUAAAGUUCUGUCAGUGGGGACGAAACUUGACGGUACCCACAGAGGAAGCACCGGCUAACUCCGUG
rnacentral:rRNA from 1 species